rnacentral:rRNA from 1 species
UACGUAGGGUCCGAGCGUUGUCCGGAAUUAUUGGGCGUAAAGGGCUCGUAGGCGGUCUGUUGCGUCGGGAGUGAAAACUUACAGCUUAACUGUGAGCGUGCUUUCGAUACGGGCAGACUUGAGGCAUUCAGGGGAGAACGGAAUUCCUGGUGUAGCGGUGAAAUGCGCAGAUAUCAGGAGGAACACCGGUGGCGAAGGCGGGGCUCUGGGCCGUAACUGACGCUGAGGAGCGAAAGCGUGGGGAGCGAACAGG